rnacentral:tRNA from 1 species
GUGGUUGUGGCUCAGUGGUAAAGCAUGUGCCCACCAUGUGUGAGGCACUGGGUUCGAUCCCCAGCACCAUG